GGGUCUAACCCACCUGCGUGAGCAGAUGCGAUGCUGGGGUGAUGAGAGGCAAGCAGCGCUGUCCAACAGCAGGUGGCUUAGCAGUGGAUGUAGGGCAUAGCAGAAGGUGCCUUCCUGGUCCCUUACAGACAGUGAACGACUCAACUGUGUAUAUCACCAAAGAGUUCUUUCAGAUCAGAAGAGACAGAAUAAGCAGUAUCUGCCCAGGGAGCUGAGCAGAGGGCGUGUGUCAUGUGGGUGGAAGUUUGGAGCCGGAGUGGUGGCUGUUUGUUACUGAAAGAAAAAGGCCGAGCUCACAGACGCCGUGCUGGGGCCUGUACCAGCCACUGAGCAGAAAGGAUGCAGGGAUGGCACCACAGAGCAGGAAGAGGGGCAACUCUCAGGCAGCCGUGUGGGAGCUCUGGAGGCGCAGGCCUCAGGGCCAAGCGGUGGCAGGGAUCGCCCUCUUCUUGAAGUCAGUUUCUUCUCUGAGGUUGUUGGAGAAGCACUGGAAAGUAACCAGGGGAAAUUAAAAGCAAUUUUAUCUAGAGCCCUGGAGGCCAAGGGCUUCUGCGACAAGUCCUUGAACAUGGUGACCACGGGCACGUCUUCUCCUCAUGGUGGCAGGACUGCUUCCCAAAGCGAUUAAAGGGAAGCUGUGCUACACUGGAUUUGACACCAGCAUAGAGACUUCACCAAAGACCCAGAAAGCACCCUGCAGAGAGGAACUUCCCCUGGUCCCAGGCCCUUCUCCACUCUUCCCAGGGUGUUGGAUUGUUGAACUGGCCGAGAUUGGAGCCUUAGAUCCCAGAUGCUGAUGUUAACAGCAUCCAAGAAGACAGUGUGGAGAAAUAGUUCCUGAUGUAUCUCUCAGCACUCAAGGAACCGGAAAUUAAAUGCAAACCAUAUGGGUUCUGUGAAGAUAUUAUGUCACACAAGGCAAAAAAGAGGCAGAAGGAAAUAUUGUUCAUAAUAUUACUAUAAUAAACAGAAAAAAACUAUUUACCAGCACAUGCUUUGUACUCUCAAAACUCAAGGAAACAUGGAAAAAGGAGAAGAAAGAUGAAUAGUAAGAAAUUAGAAUUGAGAAGAGAACAGAUUGAGACCAAGCAGUAAUUACAAAUAAAUGAGAUAAGAAAAGAAUUUCAGCUACUUCUCCUGGAGCCCUCCAUCCUUAUGCCCCAACGUGGACUGGAGACUUUUUAGUCAUUUGCCCAGAUGACUAUGUGCCCACAUGCAGAGUAUUGCAACUUUCUUUCAUCAAUAUCUUGGAACCCACCUUCAUUUCUCUUUCAAAUAUUGGAACUUCUCUGUCCUACCUUCCUUGCUUUUUGUGCAACAUAUCUUCCAGUAGUUUCCAUGGACAUGGCAAAAGAGACAGCAUUUUCCUUUUUAGAUUUCGAGCGUCUGAAAAUGUUUAUGUUUCACCCUUACACUUGAUUGAUAUUUUGGCUGGGUAAGGAAUUCUAAGUUGG
rnacentral:lncRNA from 1 species